CAUAAUAGCGCGUUCGUCGGUGCCCGGCCCUUUCGCGUUAGCGCGGGGCCAACGAGGGCCGAAGAGGGAACACGGAGCCGCGGUCUUUUCGAAGCCCGGGCCUAGCCGUGGCUGCCCCCGCAACUGUAUGCAGCCUGUAUUCGCGCCAUUCGCCACUGGAUUACCGGGAAGGCGGCGCGAAGCGGAGGUUCCUCCCCCGGGUGGAACGCCGGGCUGCGAGCCAGGAGACCUGCCGCCGAAACCAGUCGCGAG
rnacentral:ncRNA from 1 species